rnacentral:rRNA from 1 species
CAGUAGCCACGGUAAUACGUAGGUGGCAAGCGUUGUCCGGAAUUAUUGGGCGUAAAGGGCUCGCAGGCGGUCUCUUAAGUCUGAUGUGAAAGCCCCCGGCUCAACCGGGGAGGGUCAUUGGAAACUGGGAAACUUGAGUGCAGAAGAGGAGAGUGGAAUUCCACGUGUAGCGGUGAAAUGCGUAGAGAUGUGGAGGAACACCAGUGGCGAAGGCGACUCUCUGGUCUGUAACUGACGCUGAGGAGCGAAAGCGUGGGGAGCGAACAGGAUUAGAUACCCCGGUAGUCCCUGUCUCUUAUAC